rnacentral:rRNA from 1 species
GAUGAACGCUGGCGGCGUGCCUAAUACAUGCAAGUCGAGCGAAUGGAUUAAGAGCUUGCUCUUAUGAAGUUAGCGGCGGACGGGUGAGUAACACGUGGGUAACCUGCCCAUAAGACUGGGAUAACUCCGGGAAACCGGGGCUAAUACCGGAUAACAUUUUGAACCGCAUGGUUCGAAAUUGAAAGGCGGCUUCGGCUGUCACUUAUGGAUGGACCCGCGUCGCAUUAGCUAGUUGGUGAGGUAACGGCUCACCAAGGCGACGAUGCGUAGCCGAACUGAGAGGGUGAUCGGCCACACUGGGACUGAGACACGGCCCAGACUCCUACGGGAGGUAGCAGUAGGGAAUCUUCCGCCAUGGACGAAAGUCUGACGGAGCAACGCCGCGUGAGUGAUGAAGGCUUUCGGGUCGUAAAACUCUGUUGUUAGGGAAGAACAAGUGCUAGUUGAAUAAGCUGGCACCUUGACGGUACCUAACCAGAAAGCCACGGCUAACUACGUGCCAGCCGCCGCGGUAA